AGCGACGAAAUCGGACGCCAACGCGCCAACCCGCCAACUGCGAAGCUCUUGUUCGGCUGCGUGCUUCAACGCAACUCGGCUGUUAAGUGUGUAAACUCUGGCUUGUUUUCCUCGCCUCGAGAAAUUCCGUUUGCACUGGAGGCCUGGCUUUAGCAUCCGUCACGGACUUUAUGGAGAGGUGGAGACAUACAUGAAUAAUGGCGUGUUCAACGGUGCCACAGGACAUCACCGGCGAUCUGAGAGGGCACUGCAAGGAGUGCGAAUGCAGUGGUUUUCAGUGCCUUGUUGAUCUGGCCAUGACAAGGUACCUAUUGGCUGGUGCAUUCUCUGUGGACACUCGCCUGCCUCAUAUGGACCUCUCGUCAGCCUCUAUGAGGGUGCCCAAGACGGAUAUCUGGAGGAAGCUGAAUCUUGCAGUGCACCACAACAGUCUUUGGCUAGGCAAAUAUGUGGCCAGUGGUCAACAGACACCACCACUUACCCAGAAAGAGGGCCUGCGCAAUCUGUCGAAAAUUAUUCUUUGACAGUGCACCAGACAAUGAAGUUCGGCACCCAGGAAGUGCUUCCGCCCCUGUACUGACGCAAGGGGCCGAAGAAAGUUUUCGUUCAAGCACCUCGACCCAGCUACAUCAUAAGUGUGUACACUGCGACUUCUCAUCUUAUUAUUUUAGUCGUUUUCCAUCUCACAUGAAACUUGCUCAUCGUUCUGUUAAAAAGUACACCUGUGCCCUUUGUAAGGUCACUUUUGCAGCUGUUACCCGUUAUAAACAGCAUUUUGAUGAAUUUCACAUCUUGAUCGUGGCCAGUGAAGAGCAGCAUUUGCUGAGUAGCGACAGUGAAAUGGUCCACCAGGACAUGAGCAUUGAAACUGAGGUCUCAUAAUUUGAGCCGUGUGUGCUCAAUGAUGAGGCAAGGCUCUCCGAUCUGUUCAGGCUUUUGGAGGGUGAGCACAUACGUGCAAAAAAGCUAUCAGUGCUGUUGUCAAAAACAUUUCAGAAUUGUUCCGCGCCAAGGGUCUUCAGCUAGACGCAUCAGGUUUGUUAACUGACAAGGCGGGAAAACGUCAGUAUGAACGUAAUAACAUAUAUGUUAGACCUUCCAAAAAAGCACUUCCCAAUGGUUCCCAUGGUUAUUAUGUAUCACUAAAGGCACUCUUAAAAACCUUGUACCAACAUCCAGAAACAAGUAGCCAUCUUCAGGAAAAGUUUGUUAUCUCUGAAGAUGGUUUCC
rnacentral:misc_RNA from 1 species